rnacentral:tRNA from 1 species
GGGCACGUAGCUCAGCGGAUAGAGCGUUCGCCUCCGGAGCGAAAGGUCGGUGGUUCGAUCCCACUCGUGCCCA